UGGCUCCAUGAUGACAAUCGCUGGCGUAGGAGUCGUGGAUCAUGAAUGGCCCGUGUCUGGAACUCUGAGGUCCAG